CGGCCCAACUUGACUGGAGUUGAGGUCCUGAGCGCCUGCCCCCGAGCAGCCGGCCCGCGGAGAGCUCUGCGCCGCCACCCCAGGUCCGGAACCCCUCCCCGCUCCUCUCCGCUCCCGCGACCGGAAAAGUUGGCGCGGGCGGCCGCCCCCCAGCCGUGCAGAGCGCUCUUCUCCCCGGCGCGGGGCCCUCGGUCCUCCGGCCCCCGGAGCCUGCGGUGGUGGCUCCUGCCGGGUCCUGCAGUACCAGAGUUCCGACCCCAGGGUCCCCUUACCAGCGGCUGCAAGGACGCACUCCUGCUCCUCCCUCCCCUUCCCAGAGCGCCCCCGGCACUGGGGCGGUGCGAGGUGAGCGAGAGAAGAUGGAGCAGGAGAAGCCCAUGGGGACUUCGGGCAGCGGGAGCGUAGACUCCGGAACAAUAAUAAAAAAAAUACGCAGGCUUCCAGGAUGGAGGAACUGAAGCUGACAAACAGCAAGUUAGAGGGGGGCAAGGAACUCCAGCACACCAAAGUGCCCCGCCCGUCCCGACCGCCGCCGCAGCGGAUACUUGCUGAGAACCUAGUAUUUUCCAGGCGUUGAUCAAGAGGUGUGUGUGAAGUGAUACAAAAAGUUAUGAACAUUCAUGUAAGGCAGUAGAAGAUGAUGGCACAACUGCUAGAGAAGUAAAGCUUGUUAUCCCGGAAGAGAAAUAGAAGCUGCCAUUUGCUUUCUCUCCGCUGGCCGCUGACCCUUGGAGAGGCAGUGUGGACAACAUGGACACUUACUCACAACAGUGCCACUGAGACAUGUUAUCAGCCCUCACUUGAAUGAAAUCACCAUUCAUGGAUAUUGGAAUGCUGAGUACACUGUUAAUACUGUUAGUGCUUGACAGUUUAAUGGGAAAAAAGAAAAGGAGGAAAAAAAACCCAAACUUCUCUAUUGUUUCCGAUUUUACUCUACUGGAAUUUUCUCCCUCUCCCUCCUGCCAUGAUGUUUCUUUGUGGCAGAGCAACAACAACAGCUACAGUCUUGACCAAAUUCCGGAAACUAAGGAUGAGAAAGACCAACGCUCCUGCCUAGGUCUCUUCUGUGCCACUGGGUUUUCUUUGGUGGGAAUACUUCACAUAUUCCCUUGGGAACCACAUAACUGUGAGCUCAGCAACUUCCUGGGACCAGAGGCCGAAGGCUCCUGCUUCCCUUACAGCAGGCUCGUGUUCUUAGGAACCAAGCAUUUCUUCAUCCUGGUAGAAGGUCAUGGCUUUUCCCUUCCUGUCUUGGCAGCUCCUGCCCAGCCUCAGACCCAGUCAAGACAAGUGGGGCUGCUGUGUGGAGGGCAAUUCCCUGAGCCCCUAAGAAAAUUCAGAGAACCUCUCAGAAGACAAAGCUUUGGAUUGGACUACAGCUUCACCUGUGACUCUUUCCUAGCAAGCCAUGGUGUUGGAUGAAACAAGAAGAUGUGAACUGUAAUCCAGUCACAAAAGCCAAAAGUUGAGGAGAAGUUGCCAUUUCUUCUUCCUGCUUACCAUUCAAGGAUCUAUUUCCCCAAAUCCCUGUUAGAGUUAUUGGUAUCCUGGCUUUAUACAUAUUCCAUGGUAUUUGAAUGCAUAAACUGGUGCUCACAUCAUUGGUUUGAAGUUAGUGGUUCUGCCACACUCUAGCUAUAUGACUUAGGCAUGUUAGUUAUCACUCUGAGCCUCAACUUUCUCAUCUGUAUGAUGGGAGUAGUCCUAUCUCUCCUGCCUGCUUGGUCAAAUAAAAUUGCAGCUUUGUAAGUCUGAAACCUUAGGGUCCCAGGAAAGCUUGUAUGUUAUCUAAUUCAGCUUUUGUCUACUGUAGGUGACCAUGCCCUCACUAGCAUCCUAGACAAAUGGUCCUCCAUCUUCAGACUGAGCUCGGACUGGCUCGGGAACUGACAUUCUCAGGAGCUUUGAUUGUUAGAAUGUCCUUUCUAGUGCCAGGCUGAACUCUGAAUCCUCUAAUAGCUUUUACUCACUGGUUUCUGUUUCAUCUGUAGAUCCAACAAUGCAUUUAAUAUCAAAGUGUUCUGUGUUUUGAAGAGCACUGUACACCGUCCAUUUAACUGGUUAUCAGUCAUCUUUUCAGCUCCUUUGCUUGCUCUGCCCUUGGAGUUCUGAUCUGGAUGGACUGCAUGGAACAGGACAUGGCAUUGGAUGUUCCUGAACAUUCUCAAAUAUCUUUGUGGCAUCAGUUAUAAAACUUUUCCUGAUCCCAAUCUGAUUAUUACUAAUGGUAGGUGUCCCCACACAUAGUGGGUAUGCUCAAAUCCCAGAGCCAUAAUUGAAAAAGCAUGUUUCUUAACAUGUUUAAACUAUUUUAACUUGGAAGUAAUUUCCUCCUGUAUUACCUUGAGAUGAACCAAAUUUUAGUUAAAAAAAAAAAGGAAAAAAAUCUAAAGAAUUACAUGAACGUUAUUUGUAACCAAUCUGCUGUAAAAUAAAAUAUUUUUGUAUCUU